UAUUCCCGUGAAGGGGAGUAGCGUCAGGGAUAACCUGAAAUAAAGUCGUCAUUACGUGGGAAUCCCACCGGCUUUAUUGGCCUAAUUCAUUUAGUGCUUAGCGAGACCUUUGCCAUAUUU
rnacentral:misc_RNA from 1 species